rnacentral:lncRNA from 1 species
CCAUUCGAAGUGGGAGCUGUCCAGAAGAGGCGAGUAGCUCUUGGAUUGGCUGAGAAGACAACGUUCUCAGUUCUGCACAUAUAAACUGAAGAUUCAUCCGCUCUUCAUCAAAGGCUGAGUCAGAAGCUCAAAUCAAGCCCAAAGUCAUAACAACAAAUUCGAGCCAGAAGCUCAGGCCCAAGUUGCAAGGCCAGAAUAGAAGCUCACUACAUGUUACCAUAACAAAGGUUAUGAAUCUUCUCAAACUAGGCUCAUCCAGUUGGAUGCGAUGUCUAGGAAAGACUAGCCUGAGCCCAGCAAGCCCACUCUCCCUCCACGGGACCUAGCAACCCAGCAGGCCUCACACACCAUUUGACUUACGCAUGAAAGCCCGGGUCACCAGCCAGCAGACUAAGCUCGAUAGGCUUCACUAUCAAGCCCACUCCUUCUUUGGUCCAGC